rnacentral:rRNA from 1 species
UACGUAGGUGGCGAGCGUUGUCCGGAUUUACUGGGCGUAAAGGGAGCGUAGGCGGACUUUUAAGUGAGAUGUGAAAUACCCGGGCUCAACUUGGGUGCUGCAUUUCAAACUGGAAGUCUAGAGUGCAGGAGAGGAGAAUGGAAUUCCUAGUGUAGCGGUGAAAUGCGUAGAUAUUGGGAAGAACACCGGUGGCGAAGGCGACUUGCUGGGCAGCAACUGACGCUGAGGCGCGAAAGCCAGGGGAGCAAACGGGAUUAGAUAUCCGU